UACGUAGGGUGCAAGCGUUAAUCGGAAUUACUGGGCGUAAAGCGUGCGUAGACGGUUAUUUAAGUCAGAUGUGAAAGCCCCGGGCUCAACCUGGGAAUUGCAUUUGAGACUGAAUAGCUAGGGUGCGGUAGAGGGAAGCGGAAUUUCCGGUGUAGCGGUGAAAUGCGUAGAUAUCGGAAGGAACAUCAGUGGCGAAAGCGGCUUCCUGGACCAGCACCGACGUUCAGGCACGAAAGCGUGGGGAGCAAACAGG
rnacentral:rRNA from 1 species